CUGUUGCAGUUUCUAGACUUAUGGCUUCCAAGACGAGAUUGAAAGUGAAUGCGCCAUAAAUAAAGGUCAGUGCCUGUUGUGUAAACACCUCAUGUAAAGAAAUAUUCAUCAGCCUACUUUCUACAGAGGAUUAAAUGCAUUCCUGUUGGUCCAUCAUAUCAUUCGCCCGCUCCUGUGAGUACAGUUGACCUAAACCUUCAUAAAUACUGGGACAUUUUUAUUGUUGCUUUUGUUUUUCCGCUGCAGAUGAAUUUCAAGAUUUUACCAGUCACAUAACAGUGCAGCUUUACUCCCAUGUGAGUCUUAACCACAACUAUCGAUCCACGAGCUGAAGCUCACUGGUUCUCAUGGGAUGGGAUGCGUUAAAGGCUUACUGAAUUAUUAAGUCUGAUGGACUAAAUUCUGACUUAGUGUAACGUGCACGUGCCUUUAAAUAAUAUUUUCCACCGGACACGUCGCAGAACGCUGCAACUGGGUUCAAACUAAUAGGCUUAAAAUAACACACUUUUAUAGAAGCUACUAGCCUGAUAAAGUUAGAUCACAUCACAUCUGUCUCAAGCAUCUAUCUCACGCUAUUAAACUCACAGCCUCAACUUUAAUCCGAACAUAAACAGGUUUAAACUCUGACUCGAACCAACUGUGACAGUAACUAGAUUCCCGGUGUGUUUCUCCCAAAAUGUCGACGUCCUGCGCGCAUCACACUUCGCUCAAGUCAGUGUCUGCGCGGGUCUAAUGAGUCAUGACACCACCAGAGCCUAAAGGCGUCCUCCCACGCUUCUCCAGCCCACUCCUGCCUCUAUUUGAGGCGCUCCUCUGCUCCAGCCCUCAGAGCAGCAGGCGCCCAGUCAGCGCAGCUCUCUCCUGCCGCUGCGGAGCGACGGGAGUUGCGUUUCCCCGCAUUGUUCAGGCUUCUCGUCACUCGGCCAAGAUGAGACUCAUCGUCGUCCUCGUCGGAGCUCUGCUGGCAGAAAAUCUAGCGCUUCCAGUAGGAAAGGAAGGGCAGAGGGACGAUGCGAUGACACAGUGUUUGGUUGAGGUCCUGUCCAAAGUUCUGUCCAAACCAGGCUCCCAGCUGGACCAGGAAUGCAAAGAGAUUCUCCGAGCAGGAGUUAAACGUGCCCCACUGGACACGAAGAGUGGGGAGGGAACAGUAACUCAAGAGGAGGUGAUUAACAGUCAUGCUGUGCAGCCUGAUGCAAAGGCAGCAGAUGUCCAAGACAUCGAGGCACUCCUAAAGACUGUAGAGGAAAAGAGGGAAAACCCAGAAGAUGAGCGCAGUCAGGAAUCUUGGAGUCUCGGUGAUGAGAAGGACAAAAGACACGAGAACCAAAAGGAGGAGGAAGAGCGAGAGAAAAGGAGCAGCUGGAGACCGGGAAGAUUCCACCAAAAAAAACAUAAACGAGACGAGGACAACGAGCGCAGUCAAGAGAGCUGGGGGACAGAAGAAAAGAGGGAUGAGGAGGAAGGGGAAGGUGAGGAGAGAGAGAAGAGGAAAUGGAAACCUGGCAGGUACCACCAGAGGAGGCACAAACGCGAUGAAGAGCUCUCAGAUGAAGAAGCCAGAGAGGAGCCAGAUGAAGAACGAAGCCAGGAAUACUGGGAUUUUGAUACUGGAAGGGAAAAAAGAAACUGGCGACCCGGCAGGUACCAUCAGAGGAGAACCAAACGUGAUGAAGAGCUCUCGGAAGAAAAGAGGGAAGAUCCAGAUGAAGAUCGAAGCCAGGAAUACUGGGAUUUUGAUACUGGAAGGGAAAAAAGGAACUGGCGACCCGGCAGGUACCACCAGAGGAGAACCAAACGUGAUGAAGAGCUCUCAGAAGAAAAGAGGGAAGAGCCAGAAGAAGAGCGCAGCCAGGAGUACUGGGGCUUCGAGAAAAGGCACGAAAAGGAAGACGGUGAAAUUGAAAAGCGCAUAUGGAAACCAACACACCGAUACCAUCACAAGAAGAAGCUCCACAAACGUGGCGGAGGCUCCUCUGAAGAGGAGGGCGAAGAGCAGAGGGGGGAUUCUGAGGAAUACAAAGAGGCUGCGAAGAGCAGGGAUGAAGCUCUGAGGUAUCUGGCAGAGAAGCGCAACCCCUGGAUCAGCAGAGGCUACUACCACCCGGCCUGGUUCAAAAGGGAUUCAGACAAACAGGCUGCAUCCUCAACCAAGAUGGAUGACCUGGCCAGCUUGCUGAGCUACAGGGUGAACGAGGUGAACCAUGCAAAUCCAGACGAGGCCAAAGUGAGAAUUCAUCAGCGAGCGCUCAGUCCACAAGAGGAGAAAGAGCUGGAGAACCUGGCUGCAAUGGACAUGGAGUUGCAGAAAAUCGCCGCCAAGUUGCAUGAGAACAGCGCAUAAGUGACAUUAUCAGCUACUGUACGUCUGCCAGUGUAGUGUGUUUAAAGUAGAAGUGUGAAGAAAAACAUAAAAAAAUAAGACCUGAAACUCUACAGCCUUGCUUUAAACUGGUUUUAUCAUUGUCGUUGUGCUAUUUAAAUGUUAGCUUAAUGCGCAUGGGAAUGGCCUUGAUGUUUAUACAUGAAGAGAAAAUUUAA
rnacentral:lncRNA from 1 species